rnacentral:lncRNA from 1 species
CCACGAUCUUGCAUCUCAGAGAACAGCUUUUCUGCUUCUUGUAGUCUCCCAGCUUUGCAAAAACCAUCAAUAAGAGUGCUAUAGGUAAUGGUAUUAGGAACAAUUCCCCUACGAGGCAUUUCGUCGAAAACUUCUUUUGCCUCAUGAAUCUUUUUCUGCUUGCAAUAUCCGUUAAUCAAUAUGCUACAGCUAUGAACAUUAACCAUGGAGCCCUUGGCAACCAUUAGAUCAAAAACUUGUUUCGCCUCGUCCAUUUCUCCUCGCAAACAGUGACCAUCCAUAAGGGAACUGUAUGUAAUCGUGUUAGGUUCAAUUCCUCUUUGAAUCAUAAUCUGAACCACACUUCUGGCUUGCACAACCCUCCCUUCCUUACAAAGGCCAUCAACGAGGAUAUUGAAAGUGAUAAGAUCUGGAAAGAUACCUUGACUCGCCAUUUCAUUCAACAAUCUCCAAGCUUCUUUCCACCUCCCAAUAUUGCAGACUCCUUGAAUCAAUGAGUUGUAAGUAAUAACGUCCGGAACAAUACCUCUACCAACCAUUUCCGAGAAGAGGUUCAAUGCUUCGUCAACCAGUGUAUGUUUACCCAGGCUGUCGAUGAUAGUGUUAUAGGACACUGUGUCAGGCUUGCAUCCAUAUUCUUCCAUUUUGCCAAGUAAUUGAAUAGCUGCAGUGUUGUUUUCCAUCGCGCAAAAGCCCUUGAUUAGUGUGUUGAAAGUAACUACAUCCGGCUGGCAAUGACCUCCCACCACCAUUUUGCUGAAAAGUCGCGCUGCAUCAGCCACUCGAUUUCGGAGAACAAAGCCGUGAAUUAGAGUGGCGAAGGUUGCAACAUUUGGUUGAAGACCCAAUUUGAAGAAGUGGGCCAAGACAGACAAGGCAUACUCCAUCUGGUUCAAAUGACAGUAGCAAUUGAUGGUAAUGUUGAGAGUACAAGCAUCAGAAGCGAUUCCCACGAGACCCAUUUGUCUCUUCAAAGAGAGGACUGCUGGAAAUUGUUUGAGUUUGACAAGUUGGGUCAAAAUUUUAUUGAAAGGGAUAACAGGAGGCAGAGGACGCGACUGAAUCAUUUCAUCGAACACCUUCAAGGCAUCCUGCACAUUACUCACCACUCUGUGCUUUGAGGGUCGAUUCCCUAGAUGGUUCUCUCUAGACUUGUUUGGCUUAGUGGGAAGAGAAUGAAACAAAGCAACAAGAGGAGUGAAGUGAAGAAAAGGCAUACCUCUUGUGGCUCUGCAGUAAGAACUAGAAGACGUGUUCGCCAUCAUUUUCAUCAUCUCUGGGUCUCGACUUUGGAAUGGGUAUCUAUGGGAUUCACUGAGAAAGCACAAGUCUUCAACACUCUCUGUAUCUCAAAUUUGCUUUGCUUUGCUUAUUGGUAGUUGCUAGUUGCUACACGCUUUUGCAGCUUAUGUACUAUCCUUCAGUCUUCUUCCUUCAGUUUUUCUUGUUCUUUCGUUUUUUUUUCUUUUUGACUUGGUGUUAACUCAGUUAUACAUUUCCUGAUUCACCAAUUCCAAUUUUCAAACAAAAAAAAAACACAAUUCCAUUUUGCAGGUGAUGGUUUGUUCCCUGUCGACUCUAAGUCUCUGGUAAAAGACCUUGAUGGACUCGAUUUCUUGUCGAAGUGUUUGUUGGCCUAAAUUACCAUAAGCCAAACUCUCUUCUGGUUUAUCAUGAUAUCGGUGGGUAUGGCGGCAUCUACUAUCACGAGGCCAAAAUGCCUUUGGUGACAUCCACUAUUUCUUCUCAUGAUGUCUUCUUGUGGAGGUUGGGAGAGUGUCUUCCUGAUGUGUUAUCAGUCACUCACCAUGAGUCUAUGACAGGUAACCCAGACAUCGGUCUACAUGAUGUAUGUCAGAGACGAGAUCUGUCAUGCUCAUAGGACGGUCUAUAAAGUCAUUGUUUAUGCUUGUAUGUAUAAGAUAUAGAUUGUAUCUACAAUAGUGAUCCGCAUAUGAUAAAUGGCUAAUAUUAAACCAGUGUACAUGAACCACUGUGCAUGUACAAGGUAAAUAACAUUUUUGUUCGGAAGCUGUUGUUAACUAUAACCCAUUACAUUAACCCAUGUGGUGCAAGUACAUGAACGCAGGCUAAGUUUGUUAAUUGGAACUCUUUUCUGGAUUAUAGCCACAUCGGUGUGCUAUAUUGUGAGACAAAAUGGCUUGGCAAAUUUCUUCCAACUCUAACGACCCCAACUGCAUCCACCAACACUUCAUUAACAAAAGCAGCCCUUUAUGCAUGGAACACACACCUCUUACAGUUAGCCCUUCAAAAUUAUGAGCGAACUUUGAGAAAAAUGAAUACAGGCAACCAUUGGAAACUGAACUUCCCUCAGAUAUCACACCAGCCAUGAAUUAAACUUCGAAACAAAACUUUCCUUGUUAUGCUACUUUCAACAUAUACAUUCAUCAACAUCUAAUACACACCAAGAAUAACUACAUAUACUGGCUCUCUAGAACAACCAAAACAUGUACACGAAAUGUUUAGAGCGAUACUUGAAAUACCAAAGUCGGGUAUAAACAGGCUUUGGUGGCGUUCUAUAAUGUUUUCAAUGUCUUUUUUUUGUUUUGUAAAAUGAAAAUGACAUGAAAACGUGUUCAUUAGCAUAUAUUCAAAAAUGCGGAAAAUGAUUUUCAAUUUUACACGUAAAACGUCAAAUUGAUGUUUUCACAUUUUCAUUUUCAUUUUUUAAAAAACAAAAAAGAAUAUUUUCUAAAUCUGAGACUCAAUAUAAAAAAGAGUACGUACUCUCUCUUCCAUCUCGUCACGCCGCGUCUCUCUCUCUCUUAGGUCUAGUCAAUUUCUUCUCUCAUUGAUCUCCUCUUCCAUCACCAGCAACUUUUAUCAACAAAAUUCUUUUUAUACUAAUUUCUUGUGCAUUCUUUUGUGCUUUUUAAUAUAUACAAAUGCUUUAGAGUUUAAGGAAGUUUAUCGCACAGUAGGAUCAUAUUGCUCUCAUGUAUGUACAGUAGGUCAUAUUCAUUCAAUUUGGUGAGACUUGAUUCUUGAAAUCUGUGCCGUUUGUUCUUUUGUAUUUGUUUGAACUAUAAUAUGAAGGUUUUUAUAUUAUGAAGUGGGGUUAAUAAUAUCAAGCUUGAUCUCUAUAUUUUCUGCAUUUUUGUAAGGUAGUACCAGACACAUAUAUGCCGUUUUCGUUGUUAGAAAUUCAUGCUAAACUACCAGACACAUUUUCAAUUCUUGAAAAUACAAUCUCGUUUUCUCUUUUUCAUUUCCAAAAAUCAUUUUCUGAAAAUUAUUUUUGAAAACGUUACCGGACAUGCCCUUAGAUUUUCUCUUGUAGCCACUUUAGAUUAGCUUUCCCAAACAUUUACAAUUAGCAAACUAGUAAGUGUAUCUGUGCAAAGACUGAUGCACAAGAAACUCUCACCAGCUGAAUAUGACGAUUUCAGCUUAAAGUCUGUACAUAACAUUACUCCAGAAUCCCCAUAACACUAUGCCGGAGCUUCUCCUCCAGAUAAGCACUCAUCAGCACACAUAAUCACAGUCAUAGGUAAGAAUUACACACUUAGACAUACCUUUCCAGGCAAAGAUUAACAAGUAAACUGGGUUGACCCGAAAUAUCGGAGUUAGAAUUUGAAAACCUUUUGAGUUUUCACCUUACAAACUGAUAUGAACUCAUAUUUACGGGUACCUACUUUUCCAUAAGAAAAAAUCACUCUAGGUAGUUGUCAUGGAGAAGCAAUUACUGCCUUAACCACUAAUGUACUAAACAGAAGGAAUAAUAAUGUGGUCAGUUAUGUGUCGUCUUACCCACUGAAUGAGUAUGACAGAUAUAUACUUGUUUCCCUUAAGUUUUCUCUCAGAUAACUAGGGAGAGUGGUUCAAGUAUUACCUGGCAAGAUUGCCAACUUCUGACUUCAUCAACCUCGCAAACAAACUAAUCGAAAUCAAACUAUUGUACAGAUCUGCAGACACACAAAUAAAGACAUAAAAGGCCCUUUUUAAAUGCACCUGGCUACGACAGAAUUAAUACUGCUAAGCUCCUCUGGCAAGACAUGAGUAAUAUGCAUCUUCCAAGAUAGUCCCAUAUGACAAUACAAAAGGCAAAAUGUCUGGAUCAUAUACAAAGUUACAAACUGACAUUGUAUCUUCAGUAGACGGAUAAAUUAAUAUCACACAUCCAACGGUAACGAUAACGAUCAUCAACUCAUAAUUCUAUAACUAGCAGCUUAUGAAUUAGCUAGAAUUAGUCCAUAGCAAAGGAAGUUUCUGAUAUAUGACAUAACACUGCUAGGUGAUUUACAAUUAGUCGCCAGAACCAGUUCAGAGGAAGAAAAGAAGCAGUCUGAGUAAACUCGGUAAAGAGAAGUCUCAGAGUUUACAGUUGAAAUAUUGAAACAGGUCUGCUCAAAUAGGUAACCCAUAAUGGCAUAAAGCUACAGAGUACAGACUCUCUAAUCUAAACCCAAUGAACCCUAUACAGACCUUCCAAUAAUCCAAUCUAAACCUAACCAUUUCAAAGCUCCACACACCCAAACAAAACAAAACCACAAAUUGCGCUACAUAUUGUUUUUUUUUUUUUUUGUUAAACUACAAUAACUAACCGUCUCAAAAAAAAAAAAAAAAAAAAAACAAAAAAGAAUUAAAAAGUAACUUUUAUUUGCUUGAACUGACCUUAAGUCAAAUCCAGUUAUCAUCAGAAACUGAGAUAUGUUGUAAUCGUAAUCCGGGGUAAUCCCACAUUUUCAACAAAGCUCAACAAGCUCUCUCAGCACCUGCCACAUGAACAAGAAGGGUGGCAACACUGUUUGCCUUGCCCGCCUGGAUACAUCCUUAUGCUACAAUUAGUCACAACAUAUAUUACAGAGAUUAUACAAGACAUUAAAUUUCAUCUAUCCCAUCAAUCUGAAGCAAAGCGCAAAAGUCAAAUAUAACUUUUAGAUCAGAUUAAUUCCUUUAUCAUACUCUGCUAAUUAACAUUAAUCAUACAGUUCCAUUAUUCAAUAAUAUACAAUUCCAGUCUGCAGAUGAUGAACUGCUACAACAAGAAAAAGCUACAUAGUGAUUAGAGAGCCAGGAUAACCUAGCAGUCCUGAAACAAGCUACAUUGGAUAACUGAUGCAUAUCCUGAUUCAAACAAGCUCCUGAAUCUGCUCUGAUGCAGCAUCCUCAUAAUUGGCAUUUUCGAUACUGCUAGUAUAAAACCACAACAAUACAUUACCCAUACAUACAGUAGGAGAGGUCCUCUGCAACAAACAGUUAGAAAGUGGACCAUGGAUAAUUCACUAGUUUAGGACACAGAUAUUAACUUUUUAAUUUCCUAGUGAAAUUGAAAAAUAUCUGUUUCAAAAUAUUCAUUUAACUUCGGACUGAAUCUUUAAGCCAUGCUAAUAAUACAGGAUCAACUUUAUCCUUCGACAACAAAUCAACAAUCAAUUCCAUAGUUGAUGCAUCUCCAGAGAAACCCCUCUCACACAUUUCUUCAAUAAGACUUGUAGCCCUCAAUGUCUCGUUGUUAAUGAUAAAACCUCGGAUAAUUGUGUUUUGUUCCAUCUCUCUAAGCAUCUCUUCAGCUUCAACUAAGAGGCCUCCUUUGCAAAGUCCACUGAUCAUUAUGGUAUAUGUCCUUACAUCAGGCUGAACUCCUUUUGGUGAUCUUGCAUCUCAGAGAACAGCUUUUCUGCUUCUUGUACUCUCCCCGCUUUAUAAAAACCAUCAAUUAGAGUGUUAUAAGUAACAGUAUCAGGAACAAGUCCCCCGAGAGGCAUUUCCUUGAAAAUCUUGUAAGACUUAUCGAUCUUUUUACUCUUGCAGAGGACGUCUUUGAAGCAUUUCGUCGAACACCUUAAAGGCAUCCUCAACAUACUCGCUUUGGGCUUCGAGGGUCGGUUUCCUAGAUGGGUCUCUCUAGAUUUGCUCGGCUUUGUGUGUAGAGAAUUAAAGAAAGCAACAAGAGGAGUAGUGAAGAAAAGGCAUAGCUCUUGUGGCUCGGCAGUAAGAACAAGAAGACGUUUUCGCCAUCAAUUUCAUCAUCUCUGGGUCUCGACUUUCGAAUGGGUAUGGGUCUAUGCCUCUAUGGGAUUGACUGAGAAAGCUCAAAUCUUCAACUCUUCGUAUCUCAAAGUUGCUGUCAGGGUGGAAACCCUAACUGGAAAGAACAGUUGGAACGAAAUUGCAAAACUAAAAUAAGAAGAAAAUGAAGGAAUGAAACUAAGCAAAUUGCAUGAGAUCCCUAAAUGCUGCCGAGCAGCUAAAUAUAGUUGUAGGAAGCUAUAAUAAUAAGAACUCUGAAGUGGUGGACUAGUCGAAGAUUUUUCGGCUUAUCUCAUUUUUCGAUCUUAUAUUCAUGUAUUGACCGUUUAAUUUAUAUGUAUUUAUGAGCAGAUUAUUUCUGUAAAUUUUCAGCCAUAUUAAAAAUCGUGAAGAUAUUUGUAAGUGUAACUUACCAAUUAUGAACUUGAACCGUUCAUGUUUGACAUAUUUAGUUUGUCCAUUAAUUUAAUUUAGUUUGUUACCUUGACGAUCACCGAUUAGUUGUAUCCACUUAACUUAACACGGUUAGUAACAACCUGUUUUGCUUAAUUAAGAAAACAUGUGCAAAGCACGUGCACACUAGUGACCAGGAAUCACAACCAAAGGAAAUAAUUCCUAAACAAUUCACUCUCUGGGGAAACAAGCCUGUCCUCAAGUUGCUGAGUUAAAAUCUGGUAACCUGGUACGACCGUUCGAAUACUCUCGGCCGCCUCCCAUAUUGCCUCCUUUUCAGAAGAACAGAUCCUUUGAAUUAACCAUUUGGUAACUGGUGUAUUGCCUUUCUAAAACAUCGUUAUUGCGAAGAUUGCAGUUGGCCAGAAGCCGAGAAGCGCUGAGAGAUUUCAAUUCUGAGUCAUAACAUGAUGUUGGUAACUGUUGCAUGCCUGCAUUGUCUUUCUAAAACAUCAUUAUUGCUAAGAUUGCAGCUGACCACAAACGCUGGGAGAUUUCAGUUCUGAGUCAUAACAUGGUGUUCCCUGUGUUAAUUUGUUUCUAAUUCUAAUAGUUUAUUUUGGAAUUUAUAUGUAUGUGUUCUGAUCUGCACGUUAUACGUCUGUAUACAUGCAUCUUCCUAUGAAAAUUAAUACUGGAAGUAAUCACUUUAUAACAUGCACACGUAUCCAAACUGUAUACACAAAAUUGUAACAGAGAUAGUGAUAGCAAACAAGGGAAAAAAAUGUAAAGGUGGCAAAGCCAUAAUGAUCUUUUCUUCAUGUGAAACUCAAUCUCCAGAGAAACCCCUCUCACUCAUUUCUUCAAUAAGACUUGUAGCCCUCGAUGUCUCGUUGUUAUUGAUAAAACCUCGGAUAAUUGUGUUAUAGGUGCAGCCAUUAGCAGAACAGCCUUUUUGCUCCAUUUCUCUAAACAACUUUUCUGCUUCAACUAAGAUGCCACCAUUACAAAGUCCCUUGAUCAUUAUAUUGUAUGUCCUUACAUCAGGCAGUACUCCUUUCGAUGACAAACCAGAGAAGACGUCUGUUGCAGAUUCAAUUUUCCCAGCUUUGAACAGAGCUCCAAUGAUAAUAUUGUAAGCUACAAUAUCUGGUUUCAACUUGUUCCCUUCCAUCUCUCUAAGCAAUUCAAUUGCCUCAGAAAGUUGUUGGUUGUUACAGAGGCCAUCAAGUAUAAUAUUAUAAGUUUGAACAUCUGCAAGUUGGCCACGAUCUUGCAUCUCAGAGAACAGCUUUUCUGCUUCUUGUAGUCUCCCAGCUUUGCAAAAACCAUCAAUAAGAGUGUUAUAGGUAAUGGUAUUAGGAACAAUUCCCCUACGAGGCAUUUCUUUGAAAAUCUUGUAAGACUUAUCGAUCUUUUUACUCUUGCAAAAUCCGUUAAUCAAAAUGUUAAAACUCUGAACUUCAACAAAGAAGCCCUUGCUAAGCAUUAGAUCAAAAACUUGUUUGCCUUGUCCAUCUCUCCUCGCAAACAGUAACCGUCCAUAAGUUCACUGUAUGUAAUGGUGUUAGGUUCAAUUCCUCUUUGAAUCAUAAUCCGAACCACACUUCUGGCUUGCACAACCAUCCCUUCCUUACAAAGGCCAUCAACGAGGAUAUUGAAAGUGAUAAGAUCUGGAAAGAUACCUUGACUGGCCAUUUCAUUCAACAAUCUCCAAGCUUCUUUCCACCUCCCAAUAUUGCAGACUCCUUGAAUCAAUGAGUUGUAAGUAAUAACGUCCGGAACAAUACCUCUACCAACCAUUUCCGAGAAGAGGUUCAAUGCUUCGUCAACCAGUGUAUGUUUACCCAGGCUGUCGAUGAUAGUGUUAUAGGACACUAUGUCAGGCUUGCAUCCAUAUUCUUCCAUUUUGCCAAGUAAUUGAAUAGCUGCAGUGUUGUUUUCCAUCGCGCAAAAGCCCUUGAUUAGUGUGUUGAAAGUAACUACAUCCGGCUGGCAAUGACCUCCCACCACCAUUUUGCUGAAAAGUCGCGCUGCAUCAGCCACUCGAUUUCGGAGAACAAAGCCGUGAAUUAGAGUGGCGAAGGUUGCAACAUUUGGUUGAAGACCCAAUUUGAAGAAGUGGGCCAAGACAGACAAGGCAUACUCCAUCUGGUUCAAAUGACAGUAGCAAUUGAUGGUAAUGUUGAGAGUAUAAGCAUCAGAAGCGAUUCCCACGAGACCCAUUUGUCUCUUCAAAGAGAGGACUGCUGGAAAUUGUUUGAGUUUGACAAGUUGGGUCAAAAUUUUAUUGAAAGGGAAAACAGGAGGCAGAGGACGCGACUGAAUCAUUUCAUCGAACACCUUCAAGGCAUCCUCCACAUUACUCACCCCUCUGGGCUUUGAGGGUCGAUUCCCUAUAUGGUUCUCUCUAGACUUGUUCGGCUUUGUGGGUAGAGAAUGAAACAAAGCAACAAGAGGAGUGAAGUGAAGAAAAGGCAUACCUCUUGUGGGUCUGCAGUAAGAACAAGAAGACGUGUUCGCCAUCAAUUUCAUCAUCUCUGGGUCUCGACUUUCGAAUGGGUAUGGGUCUAUGGCAUUCACUGAGAAAGCUCGAAAUCUUUUCAACUCUCUGUAUCUCAAAGUUGCUGUUAGGAUCGAAACCCUAACUGGAAAUGAAAUUGCGAAAGAAAUGAAAUAACAAGGCAAAUUGAUUCAUGAGAUCCCCAAAUGCUGCCGAGCAACUACCCUUGGACACGUGUCCAUCAUGUAGUGGCUAACCUGAAUCAUCAACCUACUUAGCUUAAACUCGAAAACAUGUGCAAAGCUCGUGCACACUAGUGAACGUAAUAAGAUCUCCUAUGUUGACCAGGAAUUACAACCAAAGGAACUUCCUAACAAUUCACCUCCGGGGAAACAAGCUUGUCCUCAAGCUGCUGAGUUAAAAAGUAAUACUCCGGGGAAUCUGGUAUGAAUACUCCGGCCUCUGUUAGGGAUCUAACCCUGAAGACUUCAGAAGAGAAAACUAAGAAAGCUAGAAAGCAAAAAUGAAAAUAAGAUUCAAUAUUCAGAUAACGUUUACACUGUAGCUGGACUCCAGCUAUAUAGUUGAAAAUAAACGACAAUACGAUAAUACGACAUGGUUUACAUAAUUGGGCCUAAGUUAGGCUUUUACAAACUCGGAUAGCUAUUAUGGGCCUGGAUGGCUUGGGCUACCUCAAAAACGCUACAGACAAAAUGCCGUAACAUUCCUUCCCCUUUCUAUAACCAUCUCCUCCACUGCCUUGCAAGAAACCUCUCACAGUCAAUGACCUUACCGUCUGCAUUGAUCAAUGAGUCUGCAAACACGCACUCGUAAGCUAGCUUAUCAUGAACACUUGUUCACCCAUAAAAGCAAAUUGGCCAAUAUCAGCGAAUUUAUACUCAUCAACAGCAACAAACAUCUCUUCCCCUGGUUGUUGAGGUAACAAGUUAAUUUUGAUAACUUUGUCUUCUUGUUGCUCCUUAUAUGUCAAGCAUCACCAACGAGAGAAGAAGGUGAGUGAUUCAGAGGUGAAACCCUCCCAAGAAUAUAAUCGACAUCACCAUCACUAAACUGAUGUAGUACAACGGCUUUGAGUACUAUUGCAAAUAACAAUAAAACUACCCGUAGACACAAGCCAUUCAAUCUGCUGACUUCCCCGUUUGGCCUCACAAUUGGUUUCAAAUUAUCAAACCACACCAUGGUACCAUUAUGAAAGUCCACUUCCCAGUCAUGGUUUAAAUGUAUAUCAGCUGUGGCUCUGACUCCAAGUUUAGCUUCCCAAGUUCUUGCAAAAUUAAAGUCAAUCAGACUAGCAAGAGCUCCAGUGUCCAGCAUAGCCUCCUCAUGCGUUGUGGCACUUCUACAAGACUGUACUCCCACAACAAGUAGCAUCAUCUGGUUAACACACUUAGGAUAAUUUUCAUAGGUGCAGCACCUUGCAACUUCAUUCAGACUCAUAGGCUGCAACCCGAAGCCGAGAUGCUCUAACAUUUUGAUGAAAAAGAGCAGAUGAUGCAUACCUUAGAACUUUCUCAUGAUUACCCACAAUACUAAUAUUUUUUAGACCUUCCAAAACAGCUACACAAUAAUCAUCCUCAAGAAGUUCCACAUGUAGAUGAUGAGCCAACAUAACCAAAUUCUCAUACAUACCCUUUUGUCUCCCAAUCAUACUCUAAAUUGAACCAAUCUCUCCUGCUAUGAGUCCAUGACCAAGAUGAAAUAUGACUCCAUUGUCAUUCACCAGUAAACUAAUAAAUGCAAUCAAGAUGAUUAUCUCAGUUUUCUUUGCAAACUCUGCCAAAGAAAGUUGAGUCCCACCCACUGAAAGAAAGAGUUCAUUUGUUGAUCUCUGAUGCUCUCUCAGAAAUAAACAUACUACUUGAGCCAAAGAAGCUGAAUGUUGCGGUGAGAAUAUAUAUAUGAUCUGACCAAUUAAAACAGAAAUAAGCAUAAAAGGCACAGUGAACAACUGCAGGACAACUCCUAUCCCCUUCUUCUCCCUAAACAUCGAUCCAAUAUGUAUCACCAUUCUGAAAAUUAUUAACCAUGCUCACACCAUUAGGAAGCAACAGUUCAGCAUUUUCCACUAAAGAAUUACAAGAUGGUUUAGUUCCUUGCUCCAAACUAUCCAUUCUGAACGACUCCAUACAUCCUGUCAUGACUACAUUCCUCUCUUCUCCAUCAGUUUCCUUUUCAAACACUUGGGAAAUCAAUUGAAUUUUCAUCAAUGUCAUUGAAGCAGUGAUGUGCCUCAGAUUUUAUUCCCCAUUAGCCAUUUCAGAAAUCAAUUCGAUAAUAGUUGAAUCUGUAGCACCUGCUAACAUGGUAGCAUCCUGGACAUUAAAGUCUAAUUUCCUGAUUCAACACUUUUGACAAUCGAUAACUCAACCAUUUAGCCAACAAAUAAUUCACAUCCCCAUUCAUUUUCUCAACCAUAUCAUCAGGAGGCCAACUUUCUUUUCCAACUUUGCACGUCAAGGAACUAGGAUUAAAGAGCUUAAUCACACCAGACAAGAAACACUCAAAGGCAUCUCUAACAUCUUGAAAAUUUAAAUUCAAAGUAGUGAAUACCUGUGACUUUGACUGUGUGUUAGAUGGAGAUAUCACCAUCUCAUUGUUAAGCUUGAGCACUUCCUUGACAGAAGAACCCAGCUCCUUUGCAUUCCCUGCAUGAGCAAGCUUGGCAUGAAUUGUUGAUUUCCAUCUCUCCCAUAUUCUCUUGGAUACCAUUUCAGAUUUCACAUACAAACUUUUCUCCACACCCGUAAGGCUGGACCGCUUAUCUUCUUUACAAGCAACACGAGACACUGCUAUGCCAUCAUCAGAUAUAAAUUUUUUAUUCAUAUUCAGCAACUUAAAAUCAAGUUUCUGAAUCACAACUUGUGCCAACACUCGGGCUGCAGCUCUUUCUAUUGAAUUGGAGUCCAAUUCAACCUCCCUUAACCGCGGAAUAUCCUCUAACCCCUGGCUGAUAUGAAUAAUGCAUUCAUCCUUGAGGUCAUUCUCAAGUGGACUACUAACAGAACCACCAACAAUGUCCCCACUAUGGAAUCCAGAUUACUCGUUUCACCUCCAUUGAUAGUACUGCUAUAGGCUAAUGAUGCAGUUCAUUGGCUUGUUUUACUUUAAGCUCAACAGACACAGAUGUAACAGAUUUAACAUCAUAGCAGCCCUUAACAUGCCUAGACUUGUCCUCUAGUUCAUCCAUAAAAUGAACAGUUUUCUCAAUUCCCUUCUUGACUAAGGCGUGAUUUGCACCAGAAAUGACAGUCUCAGGCUAAUUAAACUCUCUUCCAUCCGCACUACUCACAUCCAUCCUCUCUUCAAUAUUCUCUCCAUUCCCAUGAAUGAAAUUGGCAUCAAUACUACUUAACUCAGUGCCAAAUUUAGAACCCACACCAUCACAAUCAUGAUUCAAACAGAAAUGUUGAAAAAUAUUUAAAUAAUAUAUUCAGUUAACUUCGGAAUCUUUAAGCCAUGCUAAUAAUACAGGAUCUACUGUAUCCUUCGACAACAAAUCAAUUAUUAACUUCAUAGUUGAUGCAUCUCCAGAGAAACUCCUCACACACAUUUCUUCAAUAAGUACCACAGCUCUCGAUGUCUCAUUGUUAUUGAGAAACCCUCGGAUAAUUGUGUUAUAGGUACAACCAUCUGGAUAACAGCAUUUUUGCUCCAUUUCUCUAAACAACUUUUCUGCUUCAACUAAGAUGCCACCAUUACAAAGUCCCCUGAUCAUUAUAUUGUAUGUCCAUACAUCAGGCAGUACUCCUUUCGAUGACAAACCAGAGAAGACGUCUGUUGCAGAUUCAAUUUUCCCAGCUUUGAACAGAGCUUCAAUGAUAAUAUUGUAAGCUACAAUAUCUGGUUUCAACUUGUUCGCUUCCAUCUCUCUAAGCAAUUCAAUUGCCUUAGAAAGUUGUUGGUUGUUACAGAGGCCAUCAAGUAUAAUAUUAUAAGUACGAUUACUUGGAAGUUGGCCAGAAGCUUGCAUCUCAGAGAACAACUUUUCUGCUUCUUGUUGUCUCCCCGCUUUAUAAAAACCAUCAAUUAGAGUGCUAUAAGUAACGGUAUCAGGAACAAGUCCUCUAAGAGGCAUUUCGUCGAAAAGAUUUUUUGCCUCGUGAAUCUUUUUCUGCUUGCAAUAUCCGUUAAUCAAUAUGUUACAGCUAUGAACAUUAACCAUGGAGCCCUUGGCAACCAUUAGAUCAAAAACUUGUUUCGCCUCGUCCAUUUCUCCUCGCAAACAGUGACCAUCCAUAAGGGAACUGUAUGUAAUCGUGUUAGGUUCAAUUCCUCUUUGAAUCAUAAUCUGAACCACACUUCUGGCUUGCACAACCCUCCCUUCCUUACAAAGGCCAUCAACGAGGAUAUUGAAAGUGAUAAGAUCUGGAAAGAUACCUUGACUCGCCAUUUCAUUCAACAAUCUCCAAGCU